rnacentral:rRNA from 1 species
GACGAACGCUGGCGGCGUGCUUAACACAUGCAAGUCGAACGGAAAGGCCCCCUUGUGGGGUACUCGAGUGGCGAACGGGCGAGUAACACGUGAGUAACCUACCCUUGACUUUGGGAUAACUUCAGGAAACUGGGGCUAAUACCGGAUAGGAGCUCCUGCUGCAUGGUGGGGGUUGGAAAGUUUCGGCGGUUGGGGAUGGACUCGCGGCUUAUCAGCUUGUUGGUGGGGUAGUGGCUCACCAAGGCUUUGACGGGUAGCCGGCCUGAGAGGGUGACCGGCCACAUUGGGACUGAGAUACGGCCCAGACUCCUACGGGAGGCAGCAGUGGGGAAUAUUGCACAAUGGGCGGAAGCCUGAUGCAGCAACGCCGCGUGCGGGAUGACGGCCUUCGGGUUGUAAACCGCUUUCGCCUGUGACGAAGCGUGAGUGACGGUAAUGGGUAAAGAAGCACCGGCUAACUAC